AUAAGGGUUGUCUCUCCAUGGAACAUAAAUUAUUUAUUUUAUUUUGUUUUUCAUUUUUGCAUUUAUGGGGGAAAACCAUUGUUACGGAGGUGACGUCUCUCCGUUACGGACGUGACAGAUCUGAAAUUGACACUUGUCUGACUCUGGCAAAUCAGAUAAAAUGCUUUAAAAACUUUAACCGAGAUCUAAUUGUGGGUCUCUGUUGGGUAUUUAAACCAACAAACAUUUCCCUGCGAGACAUCUGUAUGUUUAAUGGCUGGCAUUUGGAUGUUAAGAAGACUAAGACGCAGCAAAACGAUCUGUGUGAAAAAGAUGUCCAAAAAAGGCCAACAUUUGUAACUGAGUAGCGUUGAGGAUUUUGUAGCAACAAGAGCUCUGUAAAACAGAUGUCCAAAAAAGACUGCCUCUACAAAGUGAUACCUCCCUCUGUUGUCUACUUUUGGGUUGAAAGUCUCAAUCACUUGGUCAGGUGUCACCCAAGCUUUAUCUUCCAUCACAGCUGUUGACUGAUGCUCAGAGGACGGGUGUUCGGGACUUUCAGCAGAUGUGAUUUCCGAGAGCAGAAAUGAAUGGAGACCGGACUGUUCUGCCUCGGAGUAGAUUUUGUGACGCAC